GGGGACGUUGGCGGCGGUGCUUACACAUGCAGUCGAACGAUGAUGCCCAGCUUGCUGGGCGGAUUAGUGGCGAACGGGUGAGUAAUACGUGAGUAACCUGCCCUUGACUCUGGGAUAAGCCUGGGAAACUGGGUCUAAUACUGGAUACUACCUCUUGCCGCAUGGUGGGUGGUGGAAAGGGUUUUACUGGUUUUGGAUGGGCUCACGGCCUAUCAGCUUGUUGGUGGGGUAAUGGCUCACCAAGGCGACGACGGGUAGCCGGCCUGAGAGGGUGACCGGCCACACUGGGACUGAGACACGGCCCAGACUCCUACGGGAGGCAGCAGUGGGGAAUAUUGCACAAUGGGCGGAAGCCUGAUGCAGCGACGCCGCGUGAGGGAUGACGGCCUUCGGGUUGUAAACCUCUUUCAGUAGGGAAGAAGCGAGAGUGACGGUACCUGCAGAAGAAGCGCCGGCUAACUACGUGCCAGCAGCCGCGGUAAUACGUAGGGCGCAAGCGUUGUCCGGAAUUAUUGGGCGUAAAGAGCUCGUAGGCGGUUUGUCGCGUCUGCUGUGAAAGCCCGGGGCUCAACCCCGGGUCUGCAGUGGGUACGGGCAGACUAGAGUGCAGUAGGGGAGACUGGAAUUCCUGGUGUAGCGGUGAAAUGCGCAGAUAUCAGGAGGAACACCGAUGGCGAAGGCAGGUCUCUGGGCUGUUACUGACGCUGAGGAGCGAAAGCAUGGGGAGCGAACAGGAUUAGAUACCCUGGUAGUCCAUGCCGUAAACGUUGGGCACUAGGUGUGGGGGACAUUCCACGUUUUCCGCGCCGUAGCUAACGCAUUAAGUGCCCCGCCUGGGGAGUACGGCCGCAAGGCUAAAACUCAAAGGAAUUGACGGGGGCCCGCACAAGCGGCGGAGCAUGCGGAUUAAUUCGAUGCAACGCGAAGAACCUUACCAAGCUUGACAUUCACCGGACCGCCCCAGGAGAUGGGGUUUCCCUUCGGGGCUGGUGGACAGUGUGCAUGCGUCGUCAGCUCGUGUCGUGAGAUGUGGGUAGUUCCGCACGAGCGCACCCUCGUUCUAUGUUGCAGCACGUGAUGGUGGGGACUCAUAGGAGAACUGCCGGGUCAU
rnacentral:rRNA from 1 species